rnacentral:rRNA from 1 species
AUUAGGAAUCUUGCACAAUGGGCGAAAGCCUGAUGCAGCGACGCCGCGUGCGGGAUGACGGCCUUCGGGUUGUAAACCGCUUUUGUCAGGGAAGAAGAAUGUGACGGUACCUGACGAAUAAGCCCCGGCUAACUACGUGCCAGCAGCCGCGGUAAUACGUAGGGGGCGAGCGUUGUCCGAAGUUACUGGGCGUAAAGCGCGCGUAGGCGGUCUUUUAAGUCUGGUGUGAAAGGUUCAGGGCUCAACCCGAACAGUGCACUGGAUACUGGGAGACUUGAGUGCGGGAGAGGAGAGUGGAAUUCCUGGUGUAGCGGUGAAAUGCGUAGAUAUCAGGAGGAACACCGAUGGCGAAGGCAGCUCUCUGGCCUGCAACUGACGCUGAGGUGCGAAAGCGUGGGGAGCAAACGG